rnacentral:rRNA from 1 species
UACGGAGGGGACUAGCGUUGUUCGGAAUUAUUGGGCGUAAAGAGCUCGUAGGCGGUUUGUCGCGUCUGCUGUGAAAACCCGAGGCUCAACCUCGGGCCUGCAGUGGGUACGGGCAGACUAGAGUGCGGUAGGGGAGAUUGGAAUUCCUGGUGUAGCGGUGGAAUGCGCAGAUAUCAGGAGGAACACCGAUGGCGAAGGCAGAUCUCUGGGCCGUAACUGACGCUGAGGGGCGAAAGCAUGGGGAGCGAACAGG